rnacentral:rRNA from 1 species
GACGAACGCUGGCGGCGUGCUUAACACAUGCAAGUCGAACGGAAAGGCCCUGCUUUUGUGGGGUGCUCGAGUGGCGAACGGGUGAGUAACACGUGAGUAACCUGCCCUUGACUUUGGGAUAACUUCAGGAAACUGGGGCUCAUACCGGAUAUGAGCUCCUGCUGCAUGGUGGUGGUUGGAAAGUUUCGGCGGUUGUGGAUGGACUCGCGGCUUAUCAGCUUGUUGGUGUGGUAGUGGCUUACCAAGGCUUUGACGGGUAGCCGGCAUGAGAGGGUGACCGGCCACAUUGGGACUGAGAUACGGCCCAGACUCCUACGGGAGGCAGCAGUGGGGAAUAUUGCACAAUGGGCGGAAGCCUGAUGCAGAAACGCCGCGUGCGGGAUGACGGCCUUCGGGUUGUAAACCGCUUUCGCCUGUGACGAAGCGUGAGUGACGGUAAUGGGUAAAGAAGCACCGGCUAACUACGUG